rnacentral:tRNA from 1 species
ACUGAUGUAACCCAACGGCAGAGGUAGUGGACUUAGAAUCCGCGCAGUGUGGGUUCAAAUCCCACCAUCAGUA